AUGUUAUCCACUCUGAAGGAAAACUUGGCACAGGCCCAAGGGCGCAUGAAAAAAUAUGCUGACAGGAAGAGACUCGAGAGGCAAUUUGAAGUUGGGGAUAUGGUUUACUUGCGAAUGCAACCCUACAGAAUGGCUGCCUUCAGAAUUCGCCAAGCCAUGAAGCUCACAACAAAGUUCUACGGCCCUUAUCGUAUAUUGGAAAAGAUUGGCCGUGUAGCUUACAAACUCCAACUUCCAACGAAUGUGGGCAUCCAUCCUGUAUUCCACGUGAGCCAGUUGAAAAAGCACCUUGGCUCUCAUGCAAUACCCAGUCCAGAUCUCCCUCUUGUGGGCACAGAUGGCAGGAUCAAAACCGAACCCUUGGCUGUCCUGGAAACCCGAUCGUUGCCCAGGAAUGGGGUUCUGGUCACACAAUGGUCGUCGAGUGGGAGAACCUCAAGCCAGAAGAUGCAACCAACUUGGGAGGAUGCCAACUUCAUGAAGCAAGUUUUCCCAGCCUUCUUCGCAAACACCAUCAAGAGUUGGUUCCCAGAUCGGAAUACUUGA
rnacentral:rRNA from 1 species